GGUCGCCGGGAGCCGCUGGCCGCCGGAGCCGCGCCCUUGGUCGCGGGCCGCCGUUCCUCCCGCUCCUUUCGCCGCGCCCCGGUCCUCUUCUGCUUCCCGGCGGCCAAGUGCGAGCGUAGAAGCAAGCAAUGUUUGUGUGUUUCAACCAAAGGGAUUGAGCAAUUUCACCAGUAAGAUGUAUAAAUGCCCCAACAGAGGUGAAUUUUCUGAGUAAUACGGUCCUUCUAUCAGAGGUGAAUUUUCUGAGUCAUGCUUCAUGAUGUCUAAUAUUUACUGUCUUUGUACCAACUAUCUUCAAGAAAGUCAUAUGGCCCAGAUAAAAAAUUCCUAUUCACCUAGAUUUAAAGUUGAUCAAAGUUAUUUCUCACCAGAGGCAUAAGGGUUUUCUACCUAACCUUCUCACCCUUCCUAAGUAUCCAGGUAUAAUUUUGUUCUGUGGUUGGCGAUGUGCUAUCCACGGUAUGAUAAUGGUUCUAGAAGCAUUUCUUGCUCCAGGAUCUGAAUUGUGGAUGUUUAAUGAGGUGGCAGAGAAAAAGAGGGAGAAAAACUGACUGAUGAUAGUAUGGAUAUUUUUGGACUAACAAACAUUAAAUUGUACACAAAGAAGGGAAUGUUCUCAUCAGGUGGCACUUAGAAAGCUUGCCUCUUGAGACCUUUGAUUCUAUGAGUCGGUGGAGGACUCCAUUGUACAAUUAGAUUCAUGGUGCUUAGCUACACUUCUUCUAAUUCAUGACGUUCAUGCGAGCAACAAGCAGCCUGGCUGUGACAUACUAUAUAACUGACAGUUCACAGGUAACCCAAACGUCUUCCGUUGAAGGAGUCAAAAUCACAUCUACGUCACAAUGGCUUUUCUCACAGCUCCUGGAUUCGGGAGAUGUAGCAUGCACUGGAGAAAUCGAUAACAAUCAGUGAAAUACUGGACUCGAGAACAAUAAACCUUGUAUCUAUCUCCAAAUUCAGCGAUUACGUUCUGUCAAAUGAACUUGUUAGUAUUUCAUUAGCCAUGGUGGCAGAAGACAACCAAAUCGACAGUGUUUCUCGAGGAACUCUUCGCUGAGGAGGAAAACAAGGUGUGCAUACGGUCUGCUGAGUUUUACCUGUACGGACAAGAGGAGUUGAGCUUCCUUGACAUAAUGGCCAGGGCUCGUGAGAGAGACGAGAUUGUGACCGGCUCCGUUCGCCGCCGUCCGGGCAGCACGACCUUGCCGCCCCUCGCUCCUCGCCGCCGUCAGCAACACCACGGCUGGACCUGCUGCCCCUCGCUCCUCGCCGCCGUCCGCAGCAACACCACGACCCUGCCGCCCUGUGGUCCUCACCGCUGUCCGCAAGCCCGCACGGUCCAGCCGCCUCUUGGUGCCGGUCUUGAGUUUGUUAACUGCAUUGCACCGCCCUGCCGCUCUGAAGAUGGCAAGCACAAUCCAGAUGCACAUACGUUCAUGUCAGGAAUCAUUCUCCGUUUACGGACCUAACCAACACAUCUGCAAUUGGGAAUGAAAAUCAGGACCCGCAGCAAAAUAGCAGUCAGUCUGCAUAUGCCCAAAUAUCUGUUGAGAAAGAAUCAGCAUCCCUGCACUGGCGUCGUGUAAACCUCCAACAGAAGAUUCCUUCAGCUGGGGAUAGAUGUUACCCAUGAUCCGGUUGCAUGCACACAUGCUUCUUCACUAGGGUCUGUGCAAUGUAUUGCUUUUAGCAACAUAACCAGCACACAUACAGAUGGGUGUACAUCUACAAGCUCCGCGAGUCAUCGUCUCGAAGAAGUAAAUGGUGGCCGAAAAUUAAGAAGUGGCACCAGUUGGUAUGCCGGCCUAUCCAAUGAACAGAGGGCAUAGUGCUUAAAUAAACAGCGGAUUGCGCGGCUAAAAAGAAAACAGACCUCAAACAAAGAUAAUGUCGAUGCCACUCAGAGUUCCUCUUUUCCAGUUGGUGCAACCUCCAUGGCGCCACCCUCCAUGAGGUCAUCUCUUCCGGCCGUGCAAAGAGUGCUACAGUUGGAUAUUUGUUCAAGACAAUUAUGUCUGAAGUUCAAACUGCUAUCAUAAAAGCAUUUGCUCCGGUGUUCUAAAGUUUUUCGGUGAAGUGUAAUGUAUUCGACCAUUAGUGACACUACUGACCAUAAGCCAUAGUACCAACGAUGUUAUUUCCAAUUUGAAAUUUGUGUCCGUUGUGACUAAUAAGUAACCUGCUCAGGAUACUCUUAUUUGUAUAUAUUUUGAAACUGUUUCCUGAUUGAUGUAUUAGAAGAGUGUGGUUAGUCUAGA